ACCGUGCUAGGGAAAUGGUUAACCCGUCGGCCUUCUAUCAAAAGUGAAGCCGAAGAUUCUCGGUUCGAGUCCGAGGUACGGUG